AGAAAUCUUACAUUUCACUAAAGCUCGAGAUUUUGUUUUUGUUUUUUGUUUUUUUGGCAACCAAAAAUGAAACUAGUACUGAAGAUAAGAUUCAAAGUUAUGAUCAGGUAAUUAAUUAUUUGGUAUAUAUAUUUUUCGGCAUUCUGAUAUAUGUAUGGCUGAAUGUGGCCAACUAAUCUUAAAACUUAGCUUAAAUAAAAAGGAUUCCCAC
rnacentral:lncRNA from 1 species